GAUGAAGAACGUGGCGAAACGCGAUAAGUAAUGUGAAUUGCAGAAUCCAGUGAAUCAUCGAAUCUUUGAACGCACAUUGCGCCCGCCAGCAUUCUGGCGGGCAUGCCUGUUCGAGCGUCAUUUCAACCCUCGACCUCCCCUUGGGGAGGUCGGCGUUGGGGACCGGCAGCACACCGCCGGCCCUGAAAUGGAGUGGCGGCCCGUCCGCGGCGACCUCUGCGCAGUAAUACAGCUCGCACCGGGACCCCGACGCGGCCACGCCGUAAAACACCCAACUUCUGAACGUUGACCUCGAAUCAGGUAGGACUACCCGCUGAACUUAAGCAUAUCAAUAAGCGGAGGA
rnacentral:misc_RNA from 1 species